rnacentral:rRNA from 1 species
GACGAACGCUGGCGGCGUGCCUAAUACAUGCAAGUAGGACGCAGUUGCGAACGGGUGAGUAACGCGUAGGUAACUAGCUAUUAGAGGGGGAUAACUAUUGGAAACGAUAGCUAAUACCGCAUACUAGUAGAUGGACCUGCGUUGUAUUAGCUAGUAGGUAGGGUAAUGGCCUAACUAGGCAACGAUACAUAGCCGAGCUGGGAGGGUGGUCGGCCUAACUGGGAAUGGGACACGGCCCAUGCUCCUACGGGAGGGAGCAGUAGGGAAUCUUCGGCAAUGGGGGGAAACCUGACCGAGCAACGCCGCGGGAGUGAAGAAGGUUUUCGGGUCGUAAAGCUCUUUUGUUAAGGAAGCGGUACUUAACCAGAAAGGGACGGCUAACUACGUGCCAGCCGCCGCGGUAAUAC